rnacentral:rRNA from 1 species
UUCGCAAUGCCCGAAAGGGUGACGAAGCGACGCCGCGUGUGGGAAGAAGGCCUUCGGGUUGUAAACCACUGUCGGGAGUUAAGAAAUGCAAGGAUAUUAAUAGUGUCUUUGUUUGACUAAGGCUCCGGAGGAAGCCACGGCUAACUCUGUGCCAGCAGCCGCGGUAAUACAGAGGCGGCAAGCGUUGUUCGGAGUUAUUGGGCGUAAAGAGCACGUAGGCGGCUAUGUAAGUCGGUUGUGAAAGCCUUCCGCUCAACGGAAGAACAGCAUCCGAUACUACAUGGCUUGAGUGCGGGAGGGGAGAGUGGAACUUCUGGUGGAGCGGUGAAAUGCGUAGAUAUCAGAAGGAACGCCGGCGGCGAAAGCGGCUCUCUGGCCCAUAACUGACGCUGAGUGUGCGAAAGCUAGGGGAGCAAACGGGAUUAGAUACCCCGGUAGUCCUAGCCGUAAACGAUGGGCACUAAGUAGAGGGGUUUU